GGUGAACGCUGGCGACGUGGAUAAGGCAUGCAAGUCAAACGGCCCUUCGGGGCAGUGGCAGACGAGGUAGUAACACGUGGGAACCUACCCCAAAGUCAGGAAUAACUACGAGAAAUCGUAGCUAAUACUUGAUAGUCCUCAAGAGGUAAAGAUUUAUCGCUUUGGGAAGGGCCCGCGGAAUAUCAGCUUGUUGGUGAGGUAAAGGCUCACCAAGGCUAUGACGUUUAGGGGAGCUGAGAGGCUGACCCCCACCGAUGGUACUGAGAUACGGACCAUACACCUACGGGUGGCCGCAGUCGAGAAUCUUCCGCAAUGGACGAAAGUCUGACGGAGCGACGUCGCGUGAUCGAUGAAGUCUUUAGGGAUGUAAAGGUCUUUUAUGAGUGAAGAAGUUUAUUGACAUUAGCUCAUGAAUAAGGGGUUGCUAAACUCG
rnacentral:rRNA from 1 species